rnacentral:rRNA from 1 species
GACAGAGGGUGCAAACGUUGUUCGGAAUUACUGGGCGUAAAGGGCUCGUAGGUGGCCAACUAAGUCAGACGUGAAAUCCCUCGGCUUAACCGGGGAACUGCAUCUGAUACUGGAUGGCUUGAGAUUGGGAGAGGGAUGCGGAAUUCCAGGUGUAGCGGUGAAAUGCGUAGAUAUCUGGAGGAACACCGGUGGCGAAGGCGGCAUCCUGGACCAACACUGACACUGAGGAGCGAAAGCCAGGGGAGCAAACAGG